UGGGGGAUAUUGCACAAUGGGCGAAAGCCUGAUGCAGCGACGCCGCGUGGGGGAUGAAGGCUUUCGGGUUGUAAACCUCUUUCGCUAUCGAACAAGGCCCGCUUAGGGUGGGUUGAGGGUAGGUGGAGAAGAAGCGCCGGCUAACUACGUGCCAGCAGCCGCGGUAAUACGUAGGGCGCGAGCGUUGUCCGGAAUUAUUGGGCGUAAAGGGCUUGUAGGCGGCUUGUUGCGCCUGCUGUGAAAACGCGGGGCUUAACUUCGGGCGUGCAGGGGGUACGGGCAGGCUUGAGUGUGGUAGGGGUGACUGGAAUUCCAGGUGUAGCGGUGGAAUGCGCAGAUAUCUGGAGGAGCACCGAUGGCGAAGGCAGGUCACUGGGCCAUUACUGACGCUGAGGAGCGAAAGCAUGGGUAGCGAACAGG
rnacentral:rRNA from 1 species